rnacentral:rRNA from 1 species
GACGAACCGUGCGAACGUUGUUCGGAAUCACUGGGCUUAAAGGGCGCGUAGGCGGGCCUUCAAGUCCGGGGUGAAAUCCUCCAGCUUAACUGGAGAAGAGCCUCGGAGACUGAGGGCCUCGAGGAGGGUAGGGGCGUGCGGAACUCUGGGUGGAGCGGUGAAAUGCAUUGAUAUCCAGAGGAACUCCGGUGGCGAAGGCGGCACGCUGGACCCUUUCUGACGCUGAGGCGCGAAAGCCAGGGGAGCAAACGGG